CAGUUCGGAUUGUAGUCUGCAACCCGACUACAUGAAGCUGGAAUCGCUAGUAAUCGCGAAUCAGAAUGUCGCGGUGAAUACGUUCCCGGGUCUUGUACACACCGCCCGUCACACCAUGGGAGUUGGAAAUGCCCGAAGUCAGUGGCCCAACCGGAAGGGGGGAGCUGCCGAAGGCAGGUUCGAUGACUGGGGUGAAGUCGUAACAAGGUAAC
rnacentral:rRNA from 1 species